rfam:Acidobacteria bacterium RIFCSPLOWO2_02_FTLL_68_18 rifcsplowo2_02_scaffold_4531, whole genome shotgun sequence.
AUAUGACACGGCCCCACGGUGGCCAGUUUGGCCGCCACGUUCGGUCGGGGCGCCAUGAC